GAUGAACGCUGGCGGCGUGCCUAAUACAUGCAAGUCGAACGAACAGAUGAUGAGCUUGCUCCUCUACCGUUAGCGGCGGACGGGUGAGUAACACGUGGAUAACCUACCUCUUUUUCUUGGAUAACUUCGGGAAACCGGAUCUACUACCGGAUAAUAUAUUGAACCGCAUGGUGCAUUAGUUAAUCACGGCUUUCCUGUCUGUUAUAGCUGGAUCCGCGCCGGAUUAGCUAGUUGGUAAGGUAACGGCCUACCAAGGCUACGAUGCGUAGCCGACCUGAGAGGGGGAUCGGCCACACUGGAACUGAGACACGGUCCAGACUCCUACGGGAGGCAGCAGUAGGGAAUAUUCGGCAAUGGGCGAAAGCCUGACGGAGCAACGCCGCGUGAGUGACGAAGGUCUUCGGAUCGUAAAACUCUGUUAUUAGGGAAGAACAGAUGUGGAAGUAAAUAUGGACGUCUUGACGGUACCUAAUCAGAAAGCAACGGCUAACUACGUG
rnacentral:rRNA from 1 species